AUUGAACGCUGGCGGCAUGCCUUACACAUGCAAGUCGAACGGCAGCACGGGAGCAAUCCUGGUGGCGAGUGGCGAACGGGUGAGUAAUAUAUCGGAACGUGCCCAGUCGUGGGGGAUAACGUAGCGAAAGCUACGCUAAUACCGCAUACGAUCUAUGGAUGAAAGCGGGGGAUCGCAAGACCUCGCGCGAUUGGAGCGGCCGAUAUCAGAUUAGGUAGUUGGUGAGGUAAAGGCUCGCCAAGCCGACGAUCUGUAGCUGGUCUGAGAGGACGACCAGCCACACUGGGACUGAGACACGGCCCAGACUCCUACGGGAGGCAGCAGUGGGGAAUUUUGGACAAUGGGCGCAAGCCUGAUCCAGCAAUGCCGCGUGCAGG
rnacentral:rRNA from 1 species